rnacentral:rRNA from 1 species
UUCCGGUUGAUCCCGCCGGAGGCCAUUGCUAUUGGAGUCCGAUUUAGCCAUGCUAGUUGUACGAGUUCAGACUCGUAGCAGAUAGCUCAGUAACACGUGGCCAAACUACCCUGUCGAGCGGACCAACCUCGGGAAACUGAGGCUAAUCCCGCAUACGACUCUCAGGCUGGAACUGCAGAGAGUUCGAAACGCUCCGGCGCGACAGGAUGUGGCUGCGGCCGAUUAGGUAGACGGUGGGGCAACGGCCCACCGUGCCAGUAAUCGGUACGGGUUGUGAGAGCAAGAGCCCGGAGACGGUAUCUGAGACAAGAUACCGGGCCCUACGGGGCGCAGCAGGCGCGAAACCUUUACACUGCACGCCAGUGCGAUAAGGGGACUCCAAGUGCGAGGGCAUAGCGCCCUCGCUUUUCUGAACCGUAAGGUGGUUCAGGAACAAGUGCUGGGCAAGACCGGUGCCAGCCGCCGCGGUAAUACCGGCAGCGCGAGUGAUGGCCGCUGUUAUUGGGCCUAAAGCGUCCGUAGCUGGCCAGGCAAGUCUAUCGGGAAAUCUCCCCGCUCAACGGGGAGGCGUCCGGUGGAAACUGCCUGGCUUGGGACCGGAAGAUCCAGAGGGUACGUCCGGGGUAGGAGUGAAAUCCUGUAAUCCUGGACGGACCACCGGUGGCGAAAGCGCUCUGGAAAGACGGAUCCGACGGUGAGGGACGAAAGCUCGGGUCACGAACCGGAUUAGAUACCCGGGUAGUCCGAGCUGUAAACGAUGUCUGCUAGGUGCACCACAGGCUACGAGCCUGUGGUGUGCCGUAGGGAAGCCGUGAAGCAGACCGCCUGGGAAGUACGUCCGCAAGGAUGAAACUUAAAGGAAUUGGCGGGGGAGCACUACAACCGGAGGAGCCUGCGGUUUAAUUGGAGUCAACGCCGGG